rnacentral:rRNA from 1 species
GAUGAACGCUGGCGGCGUGCCUAACACAUGCAAGUCGAGCGUGAACCCUGCGAAUGAAACUUCGGUCGAUUUUGCAGGGGGAAAGCGGCGGACGGGUGAGUAACGCGUAGGUAACCUGCCCCAUACUGAGGGAUAGCCUCGGGAAACCGGGAUUAAUACCUCAUAACACCGUAUAUUCGCAUGGAUGUGCGGUCAAAGAUUUAUCGGUAUGGGAUGGGCCUGCGUCUGAUUAGCUGGUUGGUGGGGUAACGGCCUACCAAGGCGACGAUCAGUAGCCGACCUGAGAGGGUGAUCGGCCACAUUGGAACUGAGACACGGUCCAAACUCCUACGGGAGGCAGCAGUGGGGAAUAUUGCACAAUGGGCGAAAGCCUGAUGCAGCAACGCCGCGUGAGCGAAGAAGGCCUUUGGGUCGUAAAGCUCUGUCGGGUAGGAAGAUAAUGACGGUACUACCCGAGGAAGCCCCGGCUAACCUACGUG